CACUUUUGAGAUUACAUUAUAGAAGAGUGAAUUCCAUCUUGAGCCCUCUUGCUCACCUGCUCUUUCUCUCAUAUCACUCGCUUUGGGAGAAACCCUAUCAUGAACAAUCCUAAGGAGAGACCAACAUGGCAAAGAAGAAAAGCCUCCUGCCAACAAUCGUACGAGUGAACUUGGAAGUUGAUUAUGCCACCACAGUUGAACAUUGAGAUGAGUGCAGCCUCAGGCAAUGGACGUGACUGCAACCUUGGGACAGACCUUGAACCAAACCACCCAGGUACUAUGUUUAUUCGGAAUUGGUGGUUUCUGACAACCCUACAUGAGGAAUUCUGUUGACACCAUGUUUCCAACAGGAUGUGAUCACUUUGUAUCUUUGUCACAUUUUGGGACAGUGUUUUGUCAUAUUUUCCAGACUGGUCUUGGACCCCUGAGCUCAAGCCAUCUGCCCACCUUGGCUCCCCAAAAUACUGGUAUUCCAGGUGUGAGCCACUGGCCCAGCCCAGGUUUGUUAUGUGUUGCUUGCUUAAAUUAGAAGUUUCCAAAAACCUAUAAUGUUUAGUAAGAACUUAUUGUGCCUUAAAU
rnacentral:lncRNA from 1 species